GCUUAACACAUGCAAGUUGAACGGAGGUCCGAGGCUUGCCUCGGGUACCUUAGUAGCGAACGGGUGAGUAACGCGUGGGAAUCUACCUAGAAAUGGGGAAUAACUACUGGAAACGGUAGCUAAUACCGCAUAAUCCCUUCGGGGCAAAGGCUUCGGUCGUUUUUAGAUGAGCCCGCGUUAGAUUAGAUUGUUGGUAGGGUAAUGGCCUACCAAAUCCUCUAUCUAUAGCUGGUCUGAGAGGAUGAUCAGCCACACUGGGACUGAGACACGGCCCAGACUCCUACGGGAGGCAGCAGUGGGGAAUAUUGGACAAUGGGGGAAACCCUGAUCCAGCAAUGCCGCGUGAGUGAAGAAGGCCUUAGGGUUGUAAAACUCUUUCAGAAGUGAAGAUGAUGACUGUAACUUCAGAAGAAGCUCCGGCUAACUCCGUGCCAGCAGCCGCGGUAAUACGGAGGGAGCUAGCGUUGUUCGGAAUUACUGGGCGUAAAGGGCGUGUAGGCUGUGUAACCAGUCAGAGGUGAAAUCCCUAAGCUUAACUUAGGAACUGCCUUUGAUACUAUUAUGCUAGAGAUCGAGAGAGGUUAGUGGAAUUCCAAGUGUAGAGGUGAAAUUCGUAGAUAUUUGGAAGAACACCAGUGGCGAAAGCGACUAACUGGCUCGUUUCUGACGCUGAGACGCGAAAGCGUGGGUAGCAAACAGGAUUAGAUACCCUGGUAGUCCACGCCGUAAACGAUGAGUGCUAGCCGUUUGGAGGUUGCCUUCAAGUGGUGCAGUUAACGCGUUAAGCACUCCGCCUGGGGAGUACG
rnacentral:rRNA from 1 species